GAUGAAGAACGUAGCGAAAUGCGAUAAGUAAUGCGAAUUGCAGAAUUCCAGUGAGUCAUCGAAUCUUUGAACGCACAUUGCGCCCUUUGGUAUUCCGAAGGGCAUGCCUGUUCGAGCGUCAUUAUCACCCCUCAAGCCCUCGGCUUGGUGUUGGACGGUUUGGUGGAGGCCCCCUCGGGGGCUCCUGCCCCUCCCAAAGACAAUGACGGCGGCCUCGUUGGACCCCCGGUACACUGAGUUCUUCACGGGACACGUAUCGGACACAUGGGUUUACGGGACACGGUCUGCCUCCCCUCAGGGAGAAUCUUUCUAAGGUUGACCUCGGAUCAGGUAGGGAUACCCGCUGAACUUAAGCAUAUCAAAAGCGGAGGA
rnacentral:misc_RNA from 1 species